UGGGGAAUAUUGCACAAUGGGCGAAAGCCUGAUGCAGCAACGCCGCGUGCGGGAUGACGGCCUUCGGGUUGUAAACCGCUUUCAGCAGGGACGAAGGUUUUCUGACGGUACCUGCAGAAGAAGCACCGGCUAACUACGUGCCAGCAGCCGCGGUGAUACGUAGGGUGCGAGCGUUGUCCGGAAUUAUUGGGCGUAAAGAGCUUGUAGGCGGUCCGUUGCGUCGGAAGUGAAAAACUCAGGGCUUAACCCUGAGCCUGCUUUCGAUACGGGCGGACUUGAGGGAUGUAGGGGAGAACGGAAUUCCUGGUGGAGCGGUGGAAUGCGCAGAUAUCAGGAGGAACACCAGUGGCGAAGGCGGUUCUCUGGACAUUUCCUGACGCUGAGAAGCGAAAGCGUGGGGAGCAAACAGGCUUAGAUACCCUGGUAGUCCACGCCGUAAACGGUGGCACUAGGUGUGGGACCCAUUCCACGGGUUCCGUGCCGUAGCUAACGCAUUAAGUGCCCCGCCUGGGGAGUACGGCCGCAAGGCUAAAACUUAAAUGAAUUGAC
rnacentral:rRNA from 1 species